rnacentral:rRNA from 1 species
UACGUAGGGUCCAAGCGUUGUUCGGAAUUACUGGGCGUAAAGCGCGCGUAGGCGGGUUUGCAAGUCGAUUGUGAAAGCCCUGGGCUUAACCCGGGAAUGGCAGUCGAAACUGUAAAUCUUGAGUGCCUGAGAGGAUGGCGGAAUUCCCGGUGUAGUAGUGAAAUACGUAGAUAUCGGGAAGAACACCUGAGGCGAAGGCGGCUAUCUGGCGGUGCACUGACGCUGAGGCGCGAAAGCGUGGGGAGCAAACAGG